GUGCUUCACAGUUUGAAUGGGUUGUGAAUGGCGUGCUUGUGUGAGCGUUUGUUUGAGUGAAUGUGUGGUGUUUGUGUGAGAAUGUGUGGUGUUUGUGUGAGAAUGUGUCUUUCUGUAAAAAUCUACACAGUGAUCUUAUUUGAUCUGGUCUGAGUUGGGCUCUGCUCCGACCGGAGAUGAUAGGAAAAGCGCCUGCGAGCCUCUAUGGCGAUGAGCAGAGCGAGACGUUAAGCACAGGGCCUCCACGCUUCACGGUGUGGUCGGAGAUGAUGAAUUGAUCAGAUAUACUAGUUCUGUGUGUUUGGGUUUCACCCAAAACUUCACAAUGGACAAUGAGUAAAAUAAGCGAUUCUGAUCCAA